AGUCGAGCGGAAAGGUACUUGCUACUGAUCUUAGCGGCGGACGGGUGAGUAAUGCUUAGGAAUCUGCCUAUUAGUGGGGGACAACAUUUCGAAAGGAAUGCUAAUACCGCAUACGUCCUACGGGAGAAAGCAGGGGAUCUUCGGACCUUGCGCUAAUAGAUGAGCCUAAGUCGGAUUAGCUAGUUGGUGGGGUAAAGGCCUACCAAGGCGACAAUCUGUAGCGGGUCUGAGAGGAUGAUCCGCCACACUGGGACUGAGACACGGCCCAAACUCCUACGGGAGGCAGCAGUGGGGAAUAUUGGACAAUGGGCGCAAGCCUGAUCCACCCAUGCCGCGUGUGUGAAGAAGGCCUUAUGGUUGUAAAGCACUUUAAGCGAGGAGGAGGCUACUUUAGUUAAUACCUAGAGAUAGUGGACGUUACUCGCAAAAUAAGCACCGGCUAACUCUGUGCCAGCACCCGCGGUAAUACAGAGGGUGCAAGCGUUAAUCGGAUUUACUGGGCGUAAAGCGCGCGUAGGCGGCUAAUUAAGUCAAAUGUGAAAUCCCCGAGCUUAACUUGGGAAUUGCAUUCGAUACUGGUUAGCUAGAGUGUGGGAGAGGAUGGUAGAAUUCCAGGUGUAGCGGUGAAAUGCGUAGAGAUCUGGAGGAAUACCGAUGGCGAAGGCAGCCAUCUGGCCUAACACUGACGCUGAGGUGCGAAAGCAUGGGGAGCAAACAGGAUUAGAUACCCUGGUAGUCCAUGCCCGUAAAACGAAUGUCUACUAGCCCGUUGGGGCCUUU
rnacentral:rRNA from 1 species